GACGAACGCUGGCGGCGUGCUUAACACAUGCAAGUCGAACGGAAAGGCCCUGCUUUUGUGGGGUGCUCGAGUGGCGAACGGGUGAGUAACACGUGAGUAACCUGCCCUUGACUUUGGGAUAACUUCAGGAAACUGGGGCUAAUACCGGAUAGGAGCUCCUGCUGCAUGGUGGGGGUUGGAAAGUUUCGGCGGUUGGGGAUGGACUCGCGGCUUAUCAGCUUGUUGGUGGGGUAGUGGCUUACCAAGGCUUUGACGGGUAGCCGGCCUGAGAGGGUGACCGGCCACAUUGGGACUGAGAUACGGCCCAGACUCCUACGGGAGGCAGCAGUGGGGAAUAUUGCACAAUGGGCGGAAGCCUGAUGCAGCAACGCCGCGUGAGUGAAGAAGGUCUUCGGAUCGUAAAACUCUGUUAUUAGGGAAGAACAAAUGUGUAAGUAACUAUGCACGUCUUGACGGUACCUAAUCAGAAAGCCACGGCUAACUACGUG
rnacentral:rRNA from 1 species